UAACGCGUAGGUAUCUAUCCAGGGGUGGGGGGACAACCGCGGGAAACUGCGGCUAAUACCGCAUGACGAGCCGGGCCGGGAGGUUUGGUUCCAAAGGCUGUGAGGUCGCCUGUGGAGGAGCCUGCGUACGAUUAGCUUGUUGGUGGGGUAACGGCCUACCAAGGCGAUGAUCGUUAGCUGGUCUGAGAGGAUGAUCAGCCACACUGGGACUGAGACACGGCCCAGACUCCUACGGGAGGCAGCAGUGGGGAAUAUUGGACAAUGGGCGCAAGCCUGAUCCAGCAAUGCCGCGUGUGUGAAGAAGGUCUUCGGAUUGUAAAGCACUUUCGGCGGGGACGAUGAUGACGGUACCCGCAGAAGAAGCCCCGGCUAACUUCGUGCCAGCAGCCGCGGUAAUACGAAGGGGGCUAGCGUUGCUCGGAAUGACUGGGCGUAAAGGGCGCGUAGGCGGUUUGUACAGUCAGGCGUGAAAUUCCUGGGCUCAACCUGGGGGCUGCGUUUGAUACGUAUGGACUGGAGUUCGGAAGAGGGUCGUGGAAUUCCCAGUGUAGAGGUGAAAUUCGUAGAUAUCGGGAGGAACACCUGUGGCGAAAGCGGCUCACUGGACCAUAACUGACGCUGAGGCGCGAAAGCUAGGGGAGCAAACAGGAUUAGAUACCCUGGUAGUCCUAGCCCUAAACGAUGAUCGCUUGGUGUGCCGUCAAUUCA
rnacentral:rRNA from 1 species